AGGAGAUACACCUGUACCCAUGCCGAACACAGAAGUUAAGCCCUAGAACGCCGGAAGUAGUUGGGGGUUGCCCCCUGUGAGAUAUGGUAGUCGCUUAGC
rnacentral:rRNA from 1 species